rnacentral:rRNA from 1 species
AUUGAACGCUGGCGGCAUGCUUCACACAUGCAAGUCGAACGGUAACAGGGUGCUUGCACCGCUGACGAGUGGCGAACGGGUGAGUAAUACAUCGGAAUGUACCCAGUAAUGGGGGAUGACGCUUCGAAAGGAGUGCUAAUACCGCAUACGCCCUGAGGGGGAAAGUGGGGGACCGCAAGGCCUCACGUUAUUGGAGCAGCCGAUGGCUGAUUAGCUAGUUGGUGAGGUAAAGGCUCACCAAGGCGACGAUCAGUAGCGGGUCUUAGAGGACGAUCCGCCACACUGGAACUGAGACACGGUCCAGACUCCUACGGGAGGCAGCAGUGGGGAAUCUUGGACAAUGGGCGAAAGCCUGAUCCAGCAAUGCCGCGUGCGUGAAGAAGGCCUUCGGGUUGUAAAGCGCUUUUGUCUGGGAGCAAAUCCUGGCCUCUAAUACAGGUCGGGGAUGAGAGUACCAGAAGAAUAAGGACCGGCUAACUACGUGCCAGCCGCCGCAGUAAUAC